rnacentral:rRNA from 1 species
UACGUAGGGGGCAAGCGUUGUCCGGAUUCAUUGGGCGUAAAGAGCGUGUAGGCGGCCAGGUAGGUCGGUUGUGAAAACUGGAGGCUCAACCUUCAGAGGUCGACCGAAACCAUCUGGCUAGAGUCCGGGAGAGGAGAGUGGAACUCCUGGUGUAGCGGUGAAAUGCGCAGAUAUCAGGAAGAACACCCGUGGCGAAGGCGGCUCACUGGUCCAUUACUGACGCUGAGGUGCGAAAGCGUGGGGAGCAAACAGG